GUGUGACCCAACCAUUAAGAACCUGUAACUGGGUCUCCCGCACGGAUCCGUGUACGAGCCAAUCGCUGUGGGAUCCCACUCUUGUGCCUCCCCCCCGACCAGGAGAUGCCCAGGACGGUGGCUGCGGGCGCCCCCUAGCGUGAGCCGCGUGAAGCGCUCAGCCGUCCUCCCGCUCCUUCGGGAUUUUCCAUCCUAAUCAACCUGGGGCGCACUCCCCCUCGCACAGGACUGGAUGUGCUGUGCUUCCGGCUCUACAGGACAGGGCCCAGGAGUGGGGUCUGUGAGGACGUCAUUUUUAAUGGGCACGGGCACGGCUUUCUCAACCCCAUCCCACGCGUGGCCGUGUCGUCCUCCCCGCCCCCUCUGGCUCUGUCACAGCUCAUCUUUGUCGCUGCGCCUUGCUGCUGUUUGCGCACGAGCUCAAGACUCCCCGGCCGCCCGCCUUUGCUCUCCGGACGUCCACCUACUCUGUGUCCCGCUCUUCCAGGCGUCGGCUCGUCAGGUCCUGCGCGCGCCCUGUUGGCUGUGGACUGCGGAGGCUUCGCUGCCGCGCAGCCGCAGAAAGAGAAGCGCUGCCCGGCCCCGCACCGCGCCUGUCCGCGCCAAGAGCGCCUUCCACGCCCGGAGCGCCACUUCCGCUGCUCCUGACGCCGGCUCUGCCACCCCCAGACAAGAAGCCCCCGGAUCGAUCUGCCAGCAAAGGCAGCGUAGCCACCAGCGACCGUCAGGAGGCCGGGCCGCGCGCGGGGACCAGCGCCACACCCGCUCCGGGUGCCCCCGCGAGCGCUCCUCGGGAGACAGCGGCCCCCGCACCGCAGCCACGCACACGCCUCUCCGCAGGCGAUGAGGAGCGAGGAGCUGCCGGCCGCCCCCGAGCAGGGCGGGCCGGGCCCCGGCCGCCUGGGGGCGCCCUACUCCGAAGCCUGGGGCUACUUCCACCUGGCCCCCGCGCGCCCCGGGUGCCCGUCGGGCCACUGUGCCACCUGUCGCCUGUGCGGGGAGCAGGUGGGCGGCGACCCCGGCUCGCCGGCCGGGACCGCGGCGCUGUGGCAGCACCUGGAGCGCGCGCACCGGCCCGAGCUGGAGAAGAGCGGCGCCCGCCGGCCUGCACCGGGAGCCGCGGCCGAGCGCGCCGAGGGCGACUGGGCGCGCCUGCUGGAGCAGAUGGGCGCGCUGGCCAUGCGUGGCAGCCGGCGCGAGCGCGAGCUGGAGCGGCGCGAGGCGGCCGUGGCGCGGGGCGAGCGCGCCCUGGAGCGCGGGUCACCGGGCGCUGCGGGAGGCGGAGCGAGCCGUGGCCCGGGCGAGCCGGGAGCUGCAGGCCGAGCGCGAGGCGCUGCGGGCGCGGCUGCUGGAGCUGGGCGCGGCCGAGCGCGGGACCGUGGCGCUGCCCGGGGAGCCCCAGGAGGGCGGCAGGGGCGGCUGCGGCCCGGUGGGAUCCUGGCCCGUGAGGACAGCAAAGGGAGCUGCUGGGCAGCGCGAGUGAGGACGGCGGUGUGGACCCCACUUCCCAGCGCCGAGCUCGGGUAGGGGCGCCUCGUCCCCACGUCACGCUGCGCACCGACGCCAGGUGCGCCCGGUCUCAGCCCGCGGCGGCGCCCUGGCCCGCGCAGGUGCGGCGCAUUCCCCUCCCGCCUCGCGCCGGACGUGGCCACCCCGGUGUGGCCUCCCUUCUCGCCGGAGCUCAGCCCCCCGCCACGGGACAGGACUUGGGGCGCGGGGGCCCGAGGCGGCCGCCUGCCCCGGGAUCCCACAGGCCGAGGACGCUGGCCGCCUCCCCUUCCUCGGGCGCGACGCGCUCCGUCGCGUGCCCGGUCCACACUGGCUCCCAGGCAGCUUUCUCCCCAAUC
rnacentral:lncRNA from 1 species